AGAGUUUGAUCCUGGCUCAGAACGAACGCUGGCGGCGUGCGUAACACAUGCAAGUCGAAUGCGACAUGUUGCUUCGGUAAGAUGGCGCAUGGCAGACGGGUGAGAAACACGUAUUUAACCUGGCGUCAGACGGGGGAUAGUCCUGCGAAAGCGGGGGUAAUACCGCAUACGCUUAUUGGGGGAGUCCCUGAUAAGGAAAGCUGGCCUCUACGAGUACGCUGGCGUCUGACGAGGGGGAUGCGUCCUAUUAGUUAGUUGGCGGGGUAAUGGCCCACCAAGACGACGAUGGGUAGCUGGUCUGAGAGGAUGAUCAGCCACACUGGGACUGAGACACGGCCCAGACUCCUACGGGAGGCAGCAGUGGGGAAUUUUGCGCAAUGGGGGCAACCCUGACGCAGCAACGCCGCGUGCGCGACGACGCCCUUCGGGGUGUAAAGCGCUGUUGCCUGGGACGACGGUCAUGGCAGGAAGAUGGUCAUGAGUGGACGGUACUGGGUGAGGAAGCCCCGGCUAACUCCGUGCCAGCAGCCCGCGGUAAGACGGAGGGGGCAAGCGUUGUUCGGAAUCACUGGGCGUAAAGGGCGCGUAGGCGGCGCGACAAGGGGAUCGUGAAAGCCCUCGGCUUAACUGGGGGAAGGGCGGUGCCGACUGUCGGGCUA
rnacentral:rRNA from 1 species